rnacentral:lncRNA from 1 species
ACGAAUGUACUUCCUUACAGUCCACUACUGAUUAUUUGGAAAAUUAAUGUAACAUAAUUUAUGUCAGAAUAUUAACAAAUUGUUUUUUAAUAACUAUAUCGAACAGAGCACUGUUCAGCUGUGACAGCUGCUGCUGAACAUUAAGCUGUACUGUGCUCUUUUUUUAUUUCACAGUUUUAUUUUUGCUAACCUGUCCACAUAUGAUCACCAUGGUCAAGACAUCAAACUAUAUAAAAUCGCACCUUUGUAAGAUAUCAGUCAGCAUUUGAACUGCCAUGUGUGUGUAUGUUGUAGUUUUUCAAGUCUAUGAUUACAUUAUUCAAGUAAGUUCCAAGCCAAUACCUGCACUUAAAGUUGUAAUCCAGCAACUAAGGACGCAGCAAACCAGUUUACCUGGCCUCGGUCUCUGCUAAGCUUGAGGUACUUAACCAGCGCCGCCGGGGGUGAAACAUUCCUACCAUCCCCUCCAUCGUGAUAUGAAACAUAAAAACAUAAAUGAGCAAUUCUGGCUCCACCUAUCCUGCAGGAUGCCAGCUCUCCUCUCGUAUCGUUGCUAUGUGACAGGAGCAGUAACCUGGAACACCUUGGCGCAAUUAGGAUAUUCUGCGAUGGCGGAGCGUGUCAUGCACAUCAUAGCUUUACAAUUGUCUUGCCUGUUACAAAUAGGUGUGGUCAGUGGGUACCUCCUCCAGGGCAGACACCUCUGCAGACAGCUGGUCACGCCAUGGAGCACCACUGACUGUCUCCAAAGCAUGCUCCCCCUCAUCCUCCUCCUCAGCCAUCUCAGGCUGUUAUGACCUGAAAUGGUAAAAAAAGGGACAAAAAACAUCUUCAAGAAAAAUAAAUCUGUUAAUUCUUUUACAUGAUUUUAAAAUGUUUUUGUAAUUUACUUACGUAAGAUACAAAGGUGUGGUGCACCUCCAGCACUUGCAGGAAGAUGGCCCUGAAUCUGGUCUUCAUCAUCCCAAAAGCAUGCUCUAUAAUGGAGCGUGUCCUGGAAUGAUGGACGGUAAAGCGCUGGGCUCCCACACCUUGUACUGGCCUCUUAUAGGCAGUGAUGAGGGGGAGUGUCUGUCGGAGUCGUGGGUAACCUCCGUCUGCCAGGAUAAAGUGCCCUGGAGGAGGGUACACUGACCUCCUGUACAGUGGACUGUGGCGGAGCACUUGUGCGUCAUGCACUGACCCGGGCCAGCCCACGUAGGUGUCAGUGAAGCGGCCC